rnacentral:lncRNA from 1 species
AAGGGCUUAAGCCCUGUAGUUCUGAGUCCAUGUUGAUUCAGUAGAGAGAUUUUGAUCCAUUUAGUUUGAUUCAUGAUCGAAUAAAAUUGUUUUGACCAAAUCAAUUUGGACUGUUAGAUGUAACUACUGUUCAUCAUGUCUUCCUUGAUUAUUCGUAUUCUUUCUGAUUAUUAGACUUAAUUAUGUAUAAAAAUAUAGUUAUCUUGACCAAAAGAUAUCUAGCAGUGAGAUACUAUGAUGUGAUUUAUAAAAUAAAGAUUUUGAAAAGAAAUUUUUGAAAUUAUGUGGAUAUGUUGGAGUGCAUGUGAGGUAAAUAAUAUGACUCUUUUUUUAGAUUUAUAAGUAAAUUAUAUAAUAUUUGUAUUAUUGAGUUUUGAGUUAUAUUGUUUAUGAUUUAUGAAUAUGAAGUAUGAAAUUUAUUUGUUAGAUUCUACUUCAUUGUAGAAUAUUGUUUCAUAUAUUAUCAAAUGUAUUGAUUCUACUAUGGAGUUGUGAUCAAUUGAUUUUGAUUUUAGAUUAUUCUGUGUAUUACUCAAUUGAAAUAUAAAAAUGAUUUUAUCGAAAGAGAGUUCUGUGUCGAGAUGGAUUUUGACUCAUAACCUAAUUAUAUAUUGAAACCCUGCCAACGAGGGUUAUAUAUUGGCACAUCGAUAUCUUACUAGUGAAAAUUAUAUACUAGUACAUCGAUAUCCUGUCAGUGAGGAUUGUAUACUGGUACAUCAAUAUCUUAUCAAUAAGAAUUAUGUAUUGGUAUAUCGAUACCAUAUUAGUGACGAUUAUGUGCUGGUACAUCGAUCCCUACUAAUAGGAUUAUGUGCUGGUAUAUCAACAUCCUGCUAGUGGGGGUUAUGCGCUGGUAUAUCAAUAUCCUGCUAAUGGAGAUUAUGCACUGGUAUACCGAUAUCCUGUCAGUAG